rnacentral:miRNA from 1 species
AAGCGAAAUUCAAGAUGGUUGUA